rnacentral:ncRNA from 2 species
AGAAGUCGCGCCGGGAGAGAUCGGCCGCUUCCGGAAAGGAAGCAGGCCGGCGCCGAAGGAGCAACCGCCCCGGAAACUCUCAGGCAAACGGACCGCGCGACGUGU